GUGACAGCUACCCUUUUCCAGUUUACUUUAAAUUCUUCAUCUUCAUCCUUCCAAUUGAAACACCGAUCAAUGUCUUACUAGUGCAAAUGGAGCUGUUUUACUCAGAAUCCAGCUUCAACACACACGCAAAUGAAGGAUAGAAACUACAAUUU